rnacentral:tRNA from 1 species
AGUGAUAUAGCUCAGCAGCACAGUGUGUGCCUGACAAGCACAAGGUCCUGAGUUCAAUUCCUAGUACCACCA